rnacentral:ncRNA from 2 species
AUUUUCCGUUGGGGGCGCUUCCGUAAGGAGGCUGAGAAGAACCCCAUGAACCUGAUCCAGGUAAUGCUGGCGAAGGGAAACGGGUGCCGUGUUCA